rnacentral:sRNA from 1 species
UAAAACAACAAACACGAGUACUCAGAGAGCCCUAGUGCCUGGGGAUGGGCUGACGGUGCAAGCUACCAAUUUGGUACACUCACUCGAGAGAUCGAGGCCCACUCGUUGGUUGGCUGAAAAGUUACAUCAAUCACCAUCAACACUCCACCAGGCCCUCGCGCUCAUCGACAUCUCGACAUCGUACUCAAAAUGGCGCGUUUGGGUGUUAAUGAUGCCGACUUUGAAAUUUUACCGACGCGCCCAUAAGAGUUUUUUUGCAAAAACUAAAUAAGCACCGAUGUUGAAUGAUGUGCGAACAAGUUGUAAUUAUUUCGCAUUAAGCCAAGGAACCAAACCGAAAGGAAUGGAGCACAGUGGUGAUGCUGAAGCCAUGGCCCUUGGAAGACCCCAAAGAUGUCAAAGAUGGAUGCAGCUCUGGCAAACAGAAACCGAGACCGAGUUAAAUAAUGACCUUAAAGAUUGGGUUGAAUACAUUCUGUAAGGAAUUAAUGAAUGAAUGAAGUAUUCUCAAGGCAAAAGAUACGCAAAUAAACUGAUUUGUCAUAUGAAAUA